rnacentral:rRNA from 1 species
UCGGCGGGGUAAAUUCUUGGACAUAUUAAAGAAUAAGUACAUAGGACGCCUUUGCCCACUAUGUUUUCAUUAAUCAAAGAAUGCAAGUUACGUGCUGGACCACGAUCAGAACCCGUCGUAGUCCCAACCGGGAGGUACCCCGCCUAGGGAUCCAGCGCCUUAGGCAGACCGUCCGCUCGGCACUAAAAGAGAAAUCAAAGUCUUUGGGUUCUGGGGGGAGUAUAUUCGCAAGGGUGAAAGUUAUAGAAAUUGACUGAAGGGCACCACCAGCCCUGGAGCCUUUGGUUUAAUAGACUCAACGCGGGGAAACUUCCCAGGUCCAGACUCAAUAAGGAUUGACAGUUUGAGAGUUUCUUUUCGUUUUUGUGUGGGGUGGGGCAAAUCCGUUCUUAGUUGGCGGAGUGAUUUGUUUGUUUAAUUUUGAUAACGCUCCCUGACCGGACCUGAACCAUAACCAGGCCUUAUCCGUCGGCUCCCCGGUUUGUUUGAGUGAUUAUCGGGAAAAGCGGAUGGGAGUAAAUGGCAAUGACACAUCUGCGGCACCAGGCCAUGUUGAGGGCCGCAGGCGCGCGACUCUGACAGAGCCAACGAGUUCAUUUCUGGAGCUGAAUAGGUUUGGGUAAUCUUGUUAAAGUAGGUCGGGUUGGGGGCAGAGCAUAGCUAUUGAUGCUCUUCAGGUUAUGAAUUGUAGGUAAGGGCAAGUAAUUAAAUUGUGCCGGAUAUAUCCAGCCCUUCGGUACACACACGC